rnacentral:lncRNA from 1 species
AGAGAAUGCAACAACUACUGAAUCACUAUGACAGUUUUCAUGCAUUAACAUUUUUGAAAUUAUCUGAUGAGGUUCAUUUCUUUUCAAAUCAUUGUUAUUUUAAUAUUGUUUAACUUUCUAACAAUAAAAUGAUUUCCUGUACCAUUUUUAUGCCCCCGCCGUAGCAGAUGGUGGGCAUAAAGUUUUACCCUUGUCCAUCCAUCUGUACAUCCCAAAGUUGUUUUCCAUUCUCCAACUUUAGUUUGCCUCAACCAUAUGUUAUGAAACUUAUACACAAUGCUUAUUACCACAAAACACAGAUCAAGUUAUAAGUUUGGUGGCUUCACUAUAAUCGUAUCACUUUUCUCCAUUUUUGAGUUAUGCCCCUUUACAAAUGGAAAAAUUGCUGAAUUUUUCAUUUUUAACCGGAUUUUUGUGACAAAAAUGUCGGUUAUUGAUUUGGGGAUGUACGGCGGGCGGGCGGCAAUCAAAUGUUGUCCGUGCAUUAA